rnacentral:rRNA from 1 species
GACGAACGCUGGCGGCGUGCCUAAUACAUGCAAGUCGAGCGGACUUUUUUAAAAGCUUGCGUUUUAAAAAGUUAGCGGCGGACGGGUGAGUAACACGUGGGCAACCUGCCCUGUAGACUGGGAUAACCUCGGGAAACCGAAGCUAAUACCGGAUAACCAAUAGAAGCACCUACUUCUAUUGUAAAAGUUGGGAUGCUAACACUACAGGAUGGGCCUGCGGCGCAUUAGCUAGUUGGUAAGGUAAUGGCUUACCAAGGCGACGAUGCGUAGCCGACCUGAGAGGGUGAUCGGCCACACUGGGACUGAGACACGGCCCAGACUCCUACGGGAGGCAGCAGUAGGGAAUCUUCCGCAAUGGACGAAAGUCUGACGGAGCAACGCCGCGUGAACGAUGAAGGCCUUCGGGUCGUAAAGUUCUGUUGUUAGGGAAGAACAAGUACCGUUCAAAUAGGGCGGUACCUUGACGGUACCUAACCAGAAAGCCACGGCUAACUACGUG